GAGGGGCCCCGGCGCUGGCCGGGGAGCGCGCUUCUGCGGACUUUGAAACUGCUUUUGUUUGUUUUUCUUUCUUUCUUUCUUUUUUUUCCCCGCCGCACCUGCGGCAUAUGGAAAUUCCCGCUCGGGGGCAGGGCGAAUAAGAGCCGCAGCUGCGACCUACACCACAGCUGCGGCCGUGGGAGCCUUCCCCCCGCUGCGCCUGGCGGGCAGCCCAGGCAGCCUCGGAGAACAGCGACUCCCGGGCCCACUGCGCCUGGCCCGGGUCCCGCGCUGCGGCAGAGCCAGCCGGGAUCCUUGCCUCGGCGGCGCCGCCGCACAACUCCUGCCACGGCUGCUUUUAAGGGGUCAUGGAACAGGAAGCUCUACCACACUCUGGUUCAUGAGGAACUUUGAAAUGUUUGCUGAAAAUGGCAAUGAGGAACAAAGUUUUUCAGAAACAUUCUAAGCUCAUCCAGUGUGAGCUACCAUUAUACUACAGUUGAACUGACGCUGCAGUUCUAGGAGAUGGUGUGUUAGAGUCACAAACACAUCUCAGAGGCGAGACCCCCUCCCAGCCAUCAGUCUUACCUAGCCUACGAUCCUGGCAGGAAGAAGGCGUCGGAUGACUAUUUUGCUAAGUCAAAAGAGACUGUGAGGGGAGAAGGAAGAGAUGCUCACAUCUCCAACAGGGACUCCUCUAGGGGAGAAACUAAACCAGUGGAAAAAGUCACAGAGGCAGGAGGAAUCAUUCCUGAGAAAUGAACUGCGUUUGUGGAGAUAAACGACAGGCCCUAAACACCACCCUAAACCCUGACCGCUGUUAAUAUAGUUUAAUGUAAUCCUCACUGAUGGUGGUGGUCUGUGUAGCAUUUAAUCUGAUAUUAAAGUUAUUCCAGGAAGUUCCUGUUGUGGCUUUGCAGUAAUGAGCCCAACUAGUGUAUCCACAAGGAUGCGGGCUCCUUUCCUGGCCUUGCUCAGUGGCUUAAGGAUCUGGCAUUGCUGUGAACUGGGGUGUAGGUUGCAGAUGAGACUCAGACCUGGCAUUGCUGAUGUAUGCCAGUGUGGCUCGGUUCCCACAUUGCUGUAGCUCCAACCUGACCUCCUAGCCAGGGAACUUCCAUGUGCCACAGGUUUGGCCCUAAAAGGCAAAAAAAAAAAAAAAAAAAAAAAAAAA
rnacentral:lncRNA from 1 species